GCCGGGGUGGCGGAAUGGUAGACGCGGUGGUCUCAAACACCACUGGGGUCAAACCCGUGCGGGUUCGAGUCCCGCCCCCGGCACCA
rnacentral:tRNA from 2 species